AGCGGAGUAGAGCAACGGAUAGCUCGCUUGGUUCAUUCCCAAGAGGUAGUGGGUUCGACUCCCACCUCCGCAA
rnacentral:tRNA from 1 species